GAAAUGCGAUAAGUAAUGUGAAUUGCAGAAUUCCGUGAAUCAUCGAAUCUUUGAACGCACAUUGCGCCCCCUGGCAUUCCGGGGGGCAUGCCUGUCCGAGCGUCAUUUCUGCCCUCGAGCACGGCUUGUGUGUUGGGUGUGGUCCCCCCGGGGACCUGCCCGAAAGGCAGCGGCGACGUCCGUCUGGUCCUCGAGCGUAUGGGGCUCUGUCACUCGCUCGGGAAGGACCUGCGGGGGUUGGUCACCACCAUAUUUCACCACGGUUGACCUCGGAUCAGGUAGGAGUUACCCGCUGAACUUAAGC
rnacentral:misc_RNA from 1 species